rnacentral:rRNA from 1 species
UACGUAGGGGGCGAGCGUUGUCCGGAUUUAUUGGGCGUAAAGAGCGUGUAGGCGGCCUGACAGGUCUGCUGUGAAAACUCGAGGCUCAACCUCGAGAUGUCGGCGGAAACCGUCUGGCUAGAGUCCGGAAGAGGAGAGUGGAAUUCCUGGUGUAGCGGUGAAAUGCGCAGAUAUCAGGAAGAACACCUAUGGCGAAGGCAGCUCUCUGGGACGGUACUGACGCUGAGACGCGAAAGCGUGGGGAGCAAACAGG